rnacentral:lncRNA from 1 species
AUGGGUGACAAUCCCACCUCUGUUCCCAUAACCUGUCAGAUGGCAGCGAUCUUAGGGCUGUUCAAUAUCCGCCAAUCCAACUCUAUGAGUCGCCAUGGGAACUUCUCCAUCGCAUUCCAUCCAACCCUCCUCUUGGUCAUCUACUACCUCUACAAGCAGUCCACGUUUGACCCUGACACUAUUCAAGAUCUUUAUCAAUUCUGUUCUCAAGGGCUUUUUCCAGUGAACUCUAUUGCAUUCAGGACUUUGGGAUGGCUCUGUAUGCAGAUGAAGCCAAUAAUGCACUACAAGUUCCAACUUAGAGAAAGUAUGGUUAAUCAAGGUUACUAAGAGCAGAAAGUAAUUCUAAUCAGUUGAUGAUUGCUUUAAAGCUAUUUUUGAAGAGAGGACUUGAAAGAGGAGAAUGGAUCAAUCACUGUUUAGCCUGCUAGACCCUCUUUGAUGUACAGUAACCAAAAGUCAUUCUCGUCACAUCACAGAAGGUUUAGGUGAGGUAAGCUUGUGAUCUCAGUUGAAUUCUUAAUACAUGAUAGGCUGUCUAGUGUCUCCAUACAGGGGAUGUAAUUCAGUUUAUAAUAAAAGCUCAGUGCCCUUAUUGCUGUGACUAUAC